rnacentral:rRNA from 1 species
AACGAACGCUGGCGGCAGGCCUAACACAUGCAAGUCGAGCGAGACCUUCGGGUCUAGCGGCGGACGGGUGCGUAACGCGUGGGAACGUACCCUUCUCUACGGAAUAGUCCCGGGAAACUGGGUUUAAUACCGUAUACGCCCUUAGGGGGAAAGAUUUAUCGGAGAGGGAUCGGCCCGCGUUGGAUUAGGUAGUUGGUGGGGUAAUGGCCUACCAAGCCGACGAUCCAUAGCUGGUUUGAGAGGAUGAUCAGCCACACUGGGACUGAGACACGGCCCAGACUCCUACGGGAGGCAGCAGUGGGGAAUCUUAGACAAUGGGGGAAACCCUGAUCUAGCCAUGCCGCGUGAGUGACGAAGGCCUUAGGGUCGUAAAGCUCUUUCACCAGGGAUGAUAAUGACAGUAC